UAUCUGCCUUUUACAACCUUUCCCAGACAAAAUAAGUUAGCACUUUAAAAAUAUUCCUGACUCAAAGAAACAAGGCUUUUGUGUACCCAGGAUUACAUGGAUAGCAGCUAUGAUUUUAGAAAACAAAACUGCUUACACAAAUGGAUUUCAAUAUAUUAAAUGCUAAUGUUAAUAAUGAUUAUAUUUUCUUAUUCAAGAAAAUAAUUUUUGUAAUAUGCAUACCACAGUAUAAAAUUAUUAGAAUAUUUUUCAAUUUAAACAUGUGCCCUUUAAAAAAGUCAACUGAUUAAAAAUGAUCGGAUAUCCUUGCCUUUUACUCACAAAAUGAUGGGUAUCCAUAGAAAGAAAAUUAGAAUUUAAAAGUUUCAGCUCUUUAUCUUAAGCUGUCUAGCCUUUGAUGUUAUAUUUGCUCAGGCAACUCUUGCCCUCAUUAAGUCAGGGGCAGCAUAUAUUGGCAAGGGAAGAAGAAAAAAGCAAAGAAGAAUGAAAGAACUAAGUUGGAAGUAGGCUAGUGGCCACUGAAGACUGUUUUUCACUUUCAAAACAUUUAAAAGUUAAGUCUGUUCAUUUUUAGCUACUUGACAAAUAUUUUCCAAGAGAAUAAGAACUCUCAUCAAUAUCACUGUGAGGAAGAAUAUGAGGCCAAAGACCUUGCUUUAUUUUACACAAUAGAACAUUUAUUCAGUUACAUGGAAAUGGCCAAGCCAGGGUGAAAACCGUAUCUGUAUAUACUCAAAGUAGAAUCUACAUAUCAAACCAGAAAACUGAAAUGAUUAUCCUUGAGUCACAAUUUUGAGAAAAACAGAAUCUAGUGGGCAACAUCUGAUUAGUUCCAGAAGGGACACUGUCACUCGGUCUUUUUGACUUCACACCUUCCACUCACCCACUGCCACCUCACUAUAUACAUGCAUUCAGAAGCCUUUUUAGACUUUUUUCCCCCAUAAUUGCUUGCACCUCAUGAAAUUUAAAUGCUAUAGCUCUUCUACAUAUGUGUUAUAUGUUGUCAUUGUCUGGAGAGCAACAAUUACUGUAACAUGUAUGAUUUUUUUUGCCCUUCCUUAACUAUUUCCACUCCCACAGGUGGUAAUGUCACUCGCAUUGACGGUGUAUGAAUAAGACAAGUUUCUAAAACAAUGAAGAGAUGCAUGUUACUGAAAACGGGUGCACAAAGUUUGCUCUUUGCAGAGAAAGUAGAUGCUGUUUGUAUCAGGUUACUCACUGAAUUGUUUCAGUGCACAUCUUCAAAAAGUAAAUAAAGGCAGCCUCUCUGGUCCAUGGACCUCUCUGGUCCAUGUGAUCACUGCUCUGUCCUCCAGAUUUUGUUCCCAGAAUGCUCUCUUUAGGAGCUACCAGGAAAGUCUAGCUCCAGAAACGUUGGGAUUGACUAACAAAUAUACUAACAGUAGGUUCUUUACAACUUUGCAAGCAAAAGAACAUAUUUGACUAUUUUUAUUUGUUUUGCUAAUAUUUAUUUGGCCUAAUUUAUAGGAGAUCCCAAAUACACAUAGGAUCUAAAAGUUUCCUAAUUAAGGGAGAGGGAGAAGAAGGAGAGGAAAAGGGCAGAGGAUAGAGAGAGGCGGGGGGAGAAAGAAAGGGAGAGACUGAUUCCCAUUAAUUCACAUAGCUUUCAGAAUAUUCUUGCUUUAGUAAUCAAAAUGCCUCUUAAAAGUCAAUAAAUGGAUUUUUUGAAAUGUUCCAUGGUUGUAAAUAUUUGUUUGUUCAACAUGUAAUAAUUAAGUUAUGUCAUGCUACCAUUUUAAAGUCAUAAUUGUCAUAAAAUAAGUUGGUCUUAAACAUAUUUUUAAGUUCACAGCAUUUUACAUUAUAAUAAAGAAAAAGGAAAGAAAAUAAAAUAAAAAAUGUGAAAUGAAUUGUUAAACACAUAAUUAAUAUUUUAUUAAAUUAUACAAACAUAUUAAAGUAAUCCAAAAUAUCUGAAUGUUUUCUUACUUGUGCAAAGGUGCUAUUAAGGCUGACUACAGUGGUAGGCUGACUACAGUGGUAGACAGAAGAAACUGUAAAAAUAAUUCAGUAUAACAACUACAUAAUACAUUUACUACCCACCUGAUCUGUUUGUUAUCAAGUAAACACGAAAUUUUAGCUCAUGGCCCAUAUAUAACAAAGCAAAAUGUACAUAUGUUAAAAUAAUUGAAAAGGGGUGGCUUAUCUCAGUUCUCAAACUUCUAUUUUUGUUGUCUCAUCCUUUCAUCCUAAGAUGGCCAUCUCAGCACAUCUCAGAGAGAAACCUCUGAAUGGUGGUGGUGUUGUGUGUGCUAGUGAUUCUUGAACACCUAUCAAUUGUGUUUACUAAAAGUAAUCCAUAAAACUGGUUCUGGGUUGUUUCUUCCAAACUAUAAAAUUCCUGUAUAAAAACUGAAAGUUGACUUAUAUAUUUAAGGUUAACAGUGUAAGCUUUUUAAUUGUCAAUAGGUUUUCUAAAUGUAUUUUAAAAGCAAGAUAGGUAUCAUAUUAUAGGCAUUGCUAUAAUAUAUUUAUGAACUGUUCAUGCUUUAAAAGUUAUACAAUUAUUAUUUUAUAUUUGUGAUUUACACUAUGGGUACCACUUACUUUAGUAACUUAAUUAGAUGAAAAGGUUUUCAUGAAAGGUAAAUUAGGGGCAAAUCCUUUCUAUAUAAUAGAAUUCUUGAAAAUAGUACAUUGUUCAAUUGUACUAAAAGUUACUCAUUUUACAAAUUCAAAAUUAAAGUUUCCAAAUGAUAUUUACUAAACAACCUGAGUUAUACAGGUAUUCCCCACUUUUUAAAAUUUCUAGUUAUGCCACUCUGCUUUUAUGAAAGACCUGCAUUAGUACCUAUUUUUGCAAACUGAAUCAGAAUAGGAUUCUAUAUUUUACAAAAAGAGGCAAAAAAGUGAAAACAGUGUCCAGUGUUUGCUGUGCAGUGAGCUGUUAAAGAGGCAGCAUGCACCUUGAGCAAUGAGAGUGGCACCAUGGAGACCCUUCUCCAGGAACUACACUCAGCAUCUCAGCAUCAAACUGCCAAAGCUUUGAUUUUUGUCUGUGAGCACCUGUGCUUACUAUUGAUUUCUUUUGUGCAUCCGUUAGCAAGAUGUGUCCUCAGGUAUCAGAAAAACUUAAAAGAGAUCUAAGGGUACUAUGUUUAGUGUGAUAAUGGGAGGUAACAGAAUAUUUGGUAUACUUUGGUGGGUUAUUUUUUGUGUCUGAAAAUGUUCCACAAUUUUCCCAUGCAUGUUAAUGAUAACCAAUAAUUUGCUUUAUGGCAUUUCAGUUAUAAAGUUUCAUAGGAACACUCAACAUUCAGAUAUCAGGGAAAUCUGAGCCUGUACUACCUCAUAUUUUUAAAACUACUUGAAUCAACUACCUGGAUCAUUUUUAAGUUAUGAAAUAAAAGACAGAGAGAUUCAUUCAAAUUGCACAUUCAAAGAAACACAUUUCUUAUAU